CGGAGAGUUUGAUCCUGGCUCAGGACGAACGCUGGCGGCGCGCUUAACACAUGCAAGUCGAACGGACUGAUUUUAAAGCUUGCUUUUAAAUCAGUUAGUGGCGGACGGGUGAGUAACACGUGAAUAACCUGUCCCCAAGCCCGGGAUAACAGCCCGAAAGGGUUGCUAAUACCGGAUGAGCUUAUGACUGCUCCUGCAAUUAUAAGCAAAGGGUUACCGCUUGGGGAGGGAUUUGCGGCCCAUCAGCUAGUUGGUGAGAUAACAGCUCACCAAGGCAACGACGGGUAGCCGGCCUGAGAGGGUGGUCGGCCACACUGGGACUGAGACACGGCCCAGACUCCUACGGGAGGCAGCAGUGG
rnacentral:rRNA from 1 species